CUUAAAUCUUCUUCUCCGUCUGAUUUUCUUUCGACAUCGAGUUUGCUGCUACUUAAGUGAUGGCUGGGCAGGUUGAAAUUUAUGACAUUGCUUGGCAUAUCAACUCCAAGCUAUCUAAGACAAGGUGAGUCCGAAUAAAAUUUGGGAAAACUCAACCUCAAUCUUCCUCUUCCUCGUUGCCAACGGAUCACACAAUAAAACUCAGAUGUUGUGACGGGUUGGGGUAAAGAAUUAGGCCAAGUACAAUCCUAAUAUACUAUUUUGGAGUCUAUUUAUUUGGCUACUUGAAUUUGUAAUAUUUUCAUUGUAUCUGGAGAUUGUAAUUUUUAAAAAAAAAAUUUAAUAUACAUGAUGACUUAAGAUUUGAGAUUUA